UGGUGGUGCAUGGCCGUUCUUAGUUGGUGGAGUGAUUUGUCUGGUUAAUUCCGAUAACGAACGAGACCUUAACCUGCUAACUAGUUGCUUUUGCUUUGCGAUUGCUAACUUCUUAGAGGGACUAUGUAAAUCAAUUACAUGGAAGUUUGAGGCAAUAACAGGUCAGUGAUGCCCUUAUAUGUCCUGGGCUGCACGCGUGCUACACUGAUGUAUACAACAAGUGCCUAGCCAGACAUGGUAUGGCAAUCUCGAAUAUGCAUCGUGAUGGGGAUAGAUCUUUGCAAUUA
rnacentral:rRNA from 1 species